rnacentral:rRNA from 1 species
GACGAACGCUGGCGGCGUGCUUAACACAUGCAAGUCGAACGGAAAGGCCCUGCUUUUGUGGGGUGCUCGAGUGGCGAACGGGUGAGUAACACGUGAGUAACCUGCCCUUGACUUUGGGAUAACUUCAGGAAACUGGGGCUAAUACCGGAUAGGAGCUCCUGCUGCAUGGGGGGGGUUGGAAAGUUUCGGCGGUUGGGGAUUGACUCGCGGCUUAUCAGCUUGUUGGUGGGGUAGUGGCUUACCAAGGCUUUGACGGGUAGCCGGCCUGAGAGGGUGACCGGCCACAUUGGGCCUGAGAUACGGCCCAGACUCCUACGGGAGGCAGCAGUGGGGAAUAUUGCACAAUGGGCGGAAGCCUGAUGCAGCAACGCCGCGUGCGGGAUGACGGCCUUCGGGUUGUAAACCGCUUUCGCCUGUGACGAAGCGUGAGUGACGGUAAUGGGUAAAGAAGCACCGGCUAACUACGUG